UGAGAUAAGCCAACAACAAAA
rnacentral:piRNA from 1 species